AAUAGAUACCCAGGUAGUCCUGGCCCUAAACGAUGUCCACUAGAUCGCGGCGCGGUUUGACCCGCCCGCGGUCGGAGCAAAAGUGUUAAGUGGACCGCCUGGGAAGUACGGUCGCAAGGCUAAAACUCAAAGGAAUUGACGGGGGCUCACACAAGCGGUGGAGCAUGUGGUUCAAUUCGAAGCAACGCGCAGAACCUUACCUGGGCUUGACAUGCUUGGAUUAUCCCGGUGAAAGCCGGGUAGGCCCCGCAAGGGGUACAACAAGUACAGGUGCUGCAUGGCUGUCGUCAGCUCGUGUCGUGAGAUGUCGGGUUAAGUCCCUUAACGAGCGAAACCUUUACCCUUAGUUACCAGCGGGUUAUGCCGGGGACUCUAAGGGGACCGCCGGUGUCAAACCGGAGGAAGGUGGAGAUGACGUCAAGUCCUCAUGGCCUUUAUGCCCAGGGCCACACACGUGCUACAAUGGCGCGCACAAAGCGACCCUAAACCGCGAGGUCAUGGAAAUCGCAGAAAUCGCGCCCCAGUUCAGAUCGGAGGCUGCAACUCGCCUCCGUG
rnacentral:rRNA from 1 species